ensembl:lncRNA
CUGUUGACCAGGGCCCUCUAUAGUCCACGAUAUAAGGAAUAGGGUACCAUGUCGGGAAGCACACCUCGUCCUCGUAAUCAUUAGAAAAUGCAUUAAGUUGAAUAAUGAAUGAAUCCCAGUUAAUAAUAGAGCAGCAACAGAUCAAUUUUAAAAAAAGGAGAAAAUCAAGAGGAAAAAUAAUGUUUUUAGUUUUUUUAGUUGUUUUUUUAAUGCAAAAUUGAAACAGGUAAAACAUGCCUUUUUAUCUGUUAUUAACAUUGUUCUCUGUUCUGCGUGUUCUACGGGUUCCUCGGUUCUACGGGGUAGUUCUUACAGUUCUAUAGAUGGCUAUUAGGUAAUCGACCAAUCAGGAUUUCAAAAGGCACCCUAUUCCCUAUAUAGUGCACUACUUGGGCCACAGACUCUGGUCAUAAGUAGUGCACAAUAUAGGGUACCAUUUAGGAUGCACAGGAGGUGUCACCUUUCAAAAAUAAAGUCCUAAACAGGUGAAUGCAAAUAUCUCUUUAAGACGACAUUAACCUUGUUAUCACCCUGUCCUCUCUCUCUCUCUCCAGGUCUGUUAUCACCCUGUCCUUUCUCUCCAGGUCUGUUAUCACCCUGUCCUCUCUCUCUCUCUUCAGGUCUGUUAUCACCCUGUCCUCUCUCUCUCUCUCUCUCUCUCUCAGGUCUGUUAUCCCCCUGUCCUCUCUCUCUCCAGGCCUGUUAUCACCCUGUCCUCUCUCUCUCUCUCCAGGCCUGUUAUCACCCUGUCCUCUAUCUCUCCAGGCCUGUUGUCACCCUGUCCUCUCUCUAUCUCUCCAGGCCUGUUAUCACCCUGUCCUCUCUCUCUCUCUCAGGUCUGUUAUCACCCUGUCCUCUAUCUCUCCAGGCCUGUUAUCACCCUGUCCUCUCUCUCUCUCUCCAGGUCUGUUAUCACCCUGUCCUCUAUCUCUCCAGGCCUGUUAUCACCCUGUCCUCUAUCUCUCCAGGCCUGUUAUCACCCUGUCCUCUAUCUCUCCAGGCCUGUUAUCACCCUGUCCUCUAUCUCUCCAGGCCUGUUAUCACCCUGUCCUCUAUCUCUCCAGGCCUGUUAUCACCCUGUCCUCUAUCUCUGCAGGCCUGUUAUCACCUUGUCCUCUAUCUCUCCAGGCCUGUUAUCACCCUGUCCUCUAUCUCUCCAGGCCUGUUAUCACCCUGUCCUCUAUUUCUCCAGGCCUGUUAUCACCCUGUCCUCUAUCUCUCCAGGCCUGUUAUCACCCUGUCCUCUAUCUCUCCAGGCCCACAUAACAGGGCUAAGAAGAAGUGAUUUAAAUUGUCUUUAAACGUGCAGUAUAUAAAACAGACAUACUCCCACACCGUGCCAGCCUCCCACAUGCCACCCGAAUCCCUGCACACUUCACGACUUUAGCCGACUUUUGACGACUGACCCCCUAUAUGUCUUCUAUAGGGACUAGGGUGCCAUACCGUACGCAGACACAGAUUCAUGUUCCUAUAGGUCCGUGUUCGGCCGGGUAAGGAAAGGUAGAGUAGUGUGGUAGUAGGGUAGGAUGUCUGUACGAGACUCUGCAUUAAAACAGCAGUUUGACUUCCCGGGAACAAAAGAUCUGUCUUGUAAUAAACACAAAUCAUUGUUUUCAGAGUCUCUUGUAGCAAAGUUCUCCUGGUCCGUUAGGGCUAACUCAGCUCCUGAAUCCAGACCCUGUGGGUUGGAAUCCAGCUCCAUGAUUUCCGUACAUCCAGGGACAGUGUGGUCAUGGUUACUACAUAGUAUGUACUAUAUGUCAGUGGCUCAAGGUGAGCUAGAAAAUCCCCUUCGAGCAUUCCGGAUUGGAACCCAACGUUCUGGAUCUAGAACCCAAACAGAACUUCCGUUCAUUGUCACAUCAGCGCACCGCUGAGUCCAGUCCACCAAUCACAGAGCUUCAGAGACAGCCGGUUGGGAGACGAGGUUAGAGGGAGGAAGGUUUGAGAAGGUCAGUGACACCAUAGAGAAGAGUGGAGAGAGAGAGAGAGAGAGGGGAACCAUAGAACUACAACUCAAUUCUAACUCACAUUCUGGGGGAUUGAAUUAGAACUCAAUUCUAAAUCGAUUUCUAAGGGUUUGAAUUAGAACUCAAUUCUAAAUCGAAUUCUAAGGGAUUGAAUUAGAACUCAAUUCUAAAUCGAAUUCUAAGGGAUUGAAUUAGAACUCAAUUCUAAUUCUAAGGGAGAAUGAAUGGUUUUGUUUUCAUGUAGAAACCCAGCCGCUUGCUUUACAAACGACGUACUGUACACAUUGUGUCAAGUCUUACCUGAGAGUUGGUUAGUGUGUAACUGAAGUUAAACUCACUGAUUAUAUGGUGAGUGAUCUUUCUUUAGACUUUUAAGGUGUAGACGAUUCUGGCUUCCUUUUAGAAAGGAGACAAGGAGAGGAUGCUAUUUUAGAUGGUUAAGGUGUAGACGAUUCUGGCUUCCUUUUAGAAAGGAGACAAGGAGAGGAUGCUAUUUUAGAUGGUUAAGGUGUAGACGAUUCUGGCUUCCUUUUAGAAAGGAGACAAGGAGAGGAUGCUAUUUUAGAUGGUUAAGGUGUAGACGAUUCUGGCUUCCUUUUAGAAAGGAGACAAGGAGAGGAUGCUAUUUCAGGUGGUUAAGGUGUAGCCCCUGGACCCUACAGUCCUUCCACUCAUCCCUUCAAUGUGAGGAGUUUCUCCUUUUCUCUCAAAUUGCUACAGCGAAUAACCUCACCGAGGGACGCGGUUUCUCUCUCUUCCUCUCCUCGUGAUGACUUCACACACUGAUGCUCUCUCUCCCUCUCUCCUUCUAUCCUUCUCCCUCACAUACAAACACACACAUAGAAACAUACAUCAUGUUUUCAGAGAUGCAUAAUAUCUCCAAAAAGAAGGCUUCUGGUUUCCCCCCCCCCCAAAAAAAUAACAAAUUAGCAUUUAGCUGUUUUUAUUCCAUGCAGAAGAAGAGUUCAGGCUCUUUUUUUGUCCCGAAAAUGUUGGUUUGUUCUAUGUAGGUUUGUUCUAUGUAGGUUUGUUCUAUGUAGGUUUGUUCUAUGUAGGUUUGUUCUAUGUUGGUUUGUUCUAUGUAGGUUUGUUCUAUGUAGGUUUGUUCUAUGUAGGUUUGUUCUAUGUAGGUUUGUUCUAUGUAGGUUUGUUCUAUGUAGGUUUGUUCUAUGUUGGUUUGUUCUAUGUUGGUUUGUUCUAUGUUGGUUUGUUCUAUGUUGGUUUGUUCUAUGUUGGUUUGUUCUAUGUACUGUUAGAGGAAUAGUUUAAACAUCCCUUUAAUGUAUGUUGGUUUGUUCUAUGUUGGUUUGUUCUAUGUUGGUUUGUUCUAUGUACUGUUAGAGGAAUAGUUUAAACAUCCCUUUAAUGUAGAGCCCCUAUAUAGACCAAAACAUCCCUUUA